rnacentral:lncRNA from 1 species
GAGUGAGGUUAGGGUUAGGGUGAGUGUGAGUGUGAGUGUGAGGGUGAGGAUGAGGGUGAAAGUGAGGGUGAAGGUGAGGGUGAGGACAAGGGUGAGAGUGAGGAUGUAGAUGAAGAUGAGAGUGAGGGUGAAGAUGAGAAUGAGAAUGAAAGUAAGAGAGUGAAUAUAAGUGGGAGUGUGAAGUUGAAUAUAAGUGUGAGUGAUUUUGAGAUCAUUUGAUAAUAUAAUGCGAGAGAGCUUUGAAAAUUUGACAAAAGCUAGUGAAGACUUUGUAACUGAGAAUUAUUUUAUAUCUAAGUCAAAUUACAUUAUGAAUAAAAUAAUGUAAUGAUUGAAAAAAUGUUAUAAAUUAUUUUGUUUUGAUUGAUUUAGUUUCUUAUAACAUGGAUAAAAAUUAUGUUUACACGUUUAGAUAAAAAA